CCUACGGGUGGCAGCAGUGAGGAAUAUUGGUCAAUGGUCGGGAGACUGAACCAGCCAAGCCGCGUGAGGGAGGAAGGUACAGAGUAUCGUAAACCUCUUUUGUCAGGGAACAAAGGCGGGGACGUGUCCCCGGAUGAGUGUACCUGAAGAAAAAGCAUCGGCUAACUCCGUGCCAGCAGCCGCGGUAAUACGGAGGAUUCGAGCGUUAUCCGGAUUUAUUGGGUUUAAAGGGUGCGCAGGCGGUCUGUUAAGUCAGCGGUAAAAGCCCGGGGCGCAACCCCGGCCCGCCGUUGAAACUGGCAGUCUCGAGUUGGAGAGAGGUAUGCGGAAUGCGCGGUGUAGCGGUGAAAUGCAUAGAUAUCGCGAAGAACUCCGAUUGCGAAGGCAGCAUGCCGGCUCCACACUGACGCUGAGGCACGAAAGCGUGGGUAUCGAACAGGAUUAGAUACCCUGGUAGUC
rnacentral:rRNA from 1 species